rnacentral:lncRNA from 1 species
UUCAAUCGCCACUAUCAAGUCAAGGAACAAAUGGCCCAUUCACCGUAUGAUACUUUAGUUCUGGGCCUUCUUAUAUUCACUUCAGGUAUUUACCUAUCAAUUAUUUUUUAUUCUUAAUUUUCUUUGGAUUAUAUUUAUAUAAAAAAAAGAAGCUAUUUCUAGCUUAUCAAAUUGUCUAUUACUAAUGUGGCAUUAUUAAUUAAAUGUUUGAUUUCCUCUAUGCAAUGCAUCGAAUUUUAGUUUAUAAAUGGAGACAAAUAUUUUGAGAGAACUUUGUAUUUUUAAAUAGCUUCAUAAUGUCAAUUAAUAUGUAUGAGUUCAGUAUCGAUUCCAAAUAUAUAACAAUGUCAUUGUAAAUCAAAAGAAAGAAAAAAAAUUAGUUUUUUAUUUUAUUUUUAUUUACAAUAAAAGUAAAGGCCAAAUUGUUUCUCUUAUGUCCCAAACAUUAUUUCUAUUUUUAUUUUCCUUUCAAUAGAGGGCUCUAAGCCUAAAAGAAAAAUAAUUAAUCUACUGGGGUUUCCUUCACCAAUAUUUAUUUUCCUAUUUCUACACAUAAAAAUAUAAGAUAUACUGCACUUAGAGACCAUAAAAAUUGAUUAAAUUAAUAAGGAGUUGAUUCAUAAUUUAAAAAAGCAUAUGUUUAAUUUAUGUUGUCGGCAUGAGAACAUCUUUAAUAGAUGACGUGUAAGUACAUUUAUCAGCACCAUUUUAAAAAAAUAUUUAAAAUUCGAGAGUUGAAAGAAAUCACUAUAUAAAUCAAAAUUUAUCCGAUAAAUAUUAUUUAUUAAAAAAUGUUCAUACCUUUUUUAACAAUAAAAAAAUAUUUAUACCUACACUACACAUUGACAUUAAUUCAAUUAAUAAUCUAUCAAAUAUACAACCACGCUUCUGCUUCUACUUAUCACAAAAAUAAUCUAUAAUUAAAUCUCCACUAAACAUUUUAGAAAUACUUUUUCAAUGAUUAUACUAACAAACAGUCAAUUAAAAAUUAAUCAUUGAUCAAUCAUAGCUAAUACAUAUUUAUAGUCAAAAUAACUAGUGAACAAUAGUUUAAAUUUAAAAUAUAAGGAUACAAAAAUAAAGUGAAAAGAAUUUUAUGUAUAAUAUUAUGUCAUAUUAUAAGGAAGACAUAUUAUGUCAUUUUAGAAAUUUAUAAGGUAGUUCUAAAAAAGAGUUUGCUAUUUUUACAGUGAUGUAUGUGGCGUAUACAUGUGAACUAUCUGUGUUUGGAGGUGGGUGUCCUGAUUUGGCAGAGUGUAGGGANNNNNNNNNNNNNNNNNNNNNNNNNNNNNNNNNNNNNNNNNNNNNNNNNNNNNNNNNNNNNNNNNNNNNNNNNNAGUCCAUGUUAUGUUGGCAUAGGUGUAGUCCGAUACUAUUGCAAACCUGGUGGUCCAAUAUUAAUUGAUCAAUGUGUUUGCGUAAUGGACAAAGGUGCUCCCUGUAAUGUGCGUGGCUGCCCUAGACCAUGGCACCCACCAUCUACGUCCAACCAUACUCAAACUCAAUUCAAAUCUUUCAAUCUUACCACCUAAACAUAACAAUAUUGUAUACUUUAUACAUUUUACAAUAAACAAUUAAUUAUACUUAAGAUCUUUUAUCUCAA